UACGGGGGGAGCAAGCGUUGUUCGGAUUUACUGGGCGUAAAGGGCGCGUAGGCGGCCACCGCAAGUCGACUGUGAAAUCUCCGGGCUUAACCCGGAAAGGUCAGCCGAUACUGCGGGGCUAGAGUGCAGAAGGGGCAACUGGAAUUCCUGGUGUAGCGGUGGAAUGCGCAGAUAUCAGGAGGAACACCGAUGGCGAAGGCAGAUCUCUGGGCCGUAACUGACGCUGAGGAGCGAAAGCAUGGGGAGCGAACAGG
rnacentral:rRNA from 1 species